rnacentral:rRNA from 1 species
AUUGAACGCUGGCGGCAUGCCUUACACAUGCAAGUCGAACGGCAGCAUAGGAGCUUGCUCCUGAUGGCGAGUGGCGAACGGGCGAGUAAUAUAUCGGAACGUGCCCUAGAGUGGGGGAUAACUAGUCGAAAGACUAGCUAAUACCGCAUACGAUCUACGGAUGAAAGUGGGGGAUCGCAAGACCUCAUACUCCUGGAGAGGCCGAUAUCGGAUUAGCUAGGUGGGGGGGUAAAAGCCUACCAAGGCAACGAUCAGUGGCUGGUCUGAGAGGACGACCAGCCACACUGGGACUGAGACACGGCCCAGACUCCUACGGGAGGCAGCAGUGGGGAAUUUUGGACAAUGGGGGCAACCCUGAUCCAGCAAUGCCGCGUGAGUGAAGAAGGCCUUCGGGUUGUAAAGCUCUUUUGUCAGGGAAGAAACGGUAGUAGCGAAUAACUAUUACUAAUGACGGUACCUGAAGAAUAAGCACCGGCUAACUACGUGCCAGCCGCCGCGGUAA